rnacentral:sRNA from 1 species
UUUGGGCUUGGUGGUGUGUGCCUGUAGGCCCAGCUACUUGGGAGGCCAAGCAGGGAGGAUCACUGGAGCCCAGGAGUUCAGGGCUAGCCUGGGCAAUACAGACAGACCCCAUCCUUU